CAGCAGGUAGAGCAGAGCCGGAGCCAGGUGCAGGCCAUUGGAGAGAAGGUCUCCUUGGCCCAGGCCAAGAUUGAGAAGAUCAAGGGCAGCAAGAAGGCCAUCAAGGUGUUCUCCAGUGCCAAGUACCCUGCUCCAGAGCGCCUGCAGGAAUAUGGCUCCAUCUUCACGGGCGCCCAGGACCCUGGCCUGCAGAGACGCCCCCGCCACAGGAUCCAGAGCAAGCACCGCCCCCUGGACGAGCGGGCCCUGCAGGAGAAGCUGAAGGACUUUCCUGUGUGCGUGAGCACCAAGCCGGAGCCCGAGGACGAUGCAGAAGAGGGACUUGGGGGUCUUCCCAGCAACAUCAGCUCUGUCAGCUCCUUGCUGCUUUUCAACACCACCGAGAACCUGUAUGGCCAGAAGGCAGGGCCGAGGGGUGUGGGCGGGAGGCCCGGCCUGGCUUAGUGGGGACCCAGGGCAUCAGACACAGGUACAGCACAUAGGCCAGGAGCCAGGGGGUGACUGGGGUGGCUCGGCUCGGGAGGCCUGGGACCCCACAGUGCACGCUGUGCCCCUGAUGAUGUGGGAGAGGAACAUGGGCUCAGGACAGCGGGUGUCAGCUUGCCUGACCCCCAUGUCGCCUCCGUAGGUACAAGAAGUAUGUCUUCCUGGACCCCCUGGCUGGUGCUGUAACAAAGACCCAUGUGAUGCUGGGGGCAGAGACAGAGGAGAAGCUGUUUGAUGCCCCCUUGUCCAUCAGCAAGAGAGAGCAGCUGGAACAGCAGGUCCCAGAGAACUACUUCUAUGUGCCAGACCUGGGCCAGGUGCCUGAGAUUGAUGUUCCAUCCUACCUGCCUGACCUGCCCAGCAUUGCCAACGACCUCAUGUACAGUGCCGACCUGGGCCCCGGCAUUGCCCCCUCUGCCCCUGGCACCAUUCCGGAACUGCCCACCUUCCACACUGAGGUAGCCGAGCCUCUCAAGACCUACAAGAUGGGGUACUAACACCACCCCCACCGCCCCCACCACCACCCCCAGCUCCUGAGGUGCUGGCCAGUGCACCCCCACUCCCACCCUCAACCGCGGCCCCUGUAGGCCAAGGCGCCAGGCAGGACGACGGCAGCAGCAGCGCGUCUCCUUCAGGUGGGAGCAGCUCUUUGAGGCCACCUGAUUUCUGGCGUGCUCAGUGCACUCGGGUGGAUUUUCUGUGGGUUUGUUAAGUGGUCAGAAAUUCUCAAUUUUUUGAAUAGUUUCCAUUUCAAAUAUCUUGUUCUACUUGGUCCAUAAAAUAGUGGCUUUCAAACUGUAGAGCUCUGGACUUCUCACUUCUAGGGCAGAGGGAACCUGAACAAGUGAGGCUCUGGGUUCCCCAUUCCUAAUUAAACCAAUGGAAAGAAGGGGUCUAAUAACAAACUACAGCAACACAUUUUUCAUUUCAGCUUCACUGCUGUAUCUCCCAGUGUAACCCUAGCAUCCAGAAGUGGCACAAAACCCCUCUGCUGGCUCAUGUGUGCAACUGAGACUGUCAGAGCAUGGCUAGCUCAGGGGUCCAGCUCUGCAGGGUGGGGGCUAGAGAGGAAGCAGGGAGUAUCUGCACACAGGAUGCCCGCGCUCAGGUGGUUGCAGAAGUCAGUGCCCAGGCCCCCCCACACAGUCUCCAAAGGUCCGGCCUCCCCAGCGCGGGGCUCCUCGUUUGAGGGGAGGUGACUUCCCUCCCAGCAGGCUCUUGGACACAGUAAGCUUCCCCAGCCCUGCCUGAGCAGCCUUUCCUCCUUGCCCUGUUCCCCACCUCCCGGCUCCAGUCCAGGGAGCUCCCAGGGAAGUGGUCGACCCCUCCGGUGGCUGGGCCACUCUGCUAGAGUCCAUCCGCCAAGCUGGGGGCAUCGGCAAGGCCAAGCUGCGCAGCAUGAAGGAGCGAAAGCUGGAGAAGAAGAAGCAGAAGGAGCAGGAGCAAGGUGAGCGGGCCCUGGAGCCUGCGGUCGGAGGGCCUUGGGCAAGAUCGCCUCCUCCCCUCCAGCCCUGAGUCCACUGGGUGCUUUCUGCCCACCCCCUGCUCUUGCCAGCUGGCCCCUGCUUCCCCUAGGGCACAUGCUGGAAGCCCUGGGCCGCCACCAGAAGUCCUCAGCCCUCCUGCCUGGGCUAUGGCUCCUUCCUGGUUUGGGAGCCAUAGUGAAGCUUUCCUCUCUAAGCUCACCCAGCCCAAACUGUGACAGGAGAAUCUUCUUCGACUGCCAAGAGCGGUCCAAGGCAAUGGUCAGCCACUGCAGCCCCCUGAGAUAUUUUUAGAGACUGGACCUGAGGCCUCUGGAGGCUACUGAUGAUGCCUGCUGUGAACGCAGACACUGGUGUGAUGCGAUGCCUGCGCCUGCAGCGGCAGUGCCCUGGGCACUAUGGUUUUGAGCUUGUACCCAGCGCUGCUUUUGCCUUGCUCUGUGACCCCAGGCAAGCUGCCUCACCUCUCUGGGCCAGUUUCCCCAUCGUACAGUGGUGCUGCACACCCUGGCCCUGGCCCCGAGGUGGCUGGGAGGUGGCUCCUCAAACAGCCGCUUUCUCAUCAGUGCCCGGUGCUGGGUCAGGGAUCGACUGAGGCUCUGAGCUAACUAGGAAACACAGUGGCCUUGGAGGGCUGGGGAGUGUCAUGGGGGUGGGGACAGGGAGCCACCGGUCGCAUGUGACUGAACUCUUCACCCCAGUCUGUGGCUUUCCCGUUGCAGUGAGAGCCACGAGCCAAGGUGGGCACUUGAUGUCGGAUCUCUUCAACAAGCUGGUCAUGAGGCGCAAGGGCAUCUCUGGGAAAGGACCUGGGGCUGGUGAGGGGCCCGGAGGAGCCUUUGCCCGCGUGUCAGACUCCAUCCCUCCUGUGCCCCCACCGCAACAGCCACAGGCAGAGGAGGACGAGGACGACUGGGAAUCCUAGGGGGCUCCAUGACACCUUCCCCCCCAGACCCAGACUUGGGCUGUUGCUCUGACAUGGACACAGCCAGGACAAGCUGCUCAGACCUGCUUCCCUGGGAGGGGGUGACGGAACCAGCACUGUGUGGAGACCAGCUUCAAGGAGCGGAAGGCUGGCUUGAGGCCACACAGCUGGGGCGGGGACUUCUGUCUGCCUGUGCUCCAUGGGGGGACGGCUCCACCCAGCCUGCGCCACUGUGUUCUUAAGAGGCUUCCAGAGAAAACGGCACACCAAUCAAUAAAGAACUGAGCAGAAA
rnacentral:lncRNA from 1 species